rnacentral:rRNA from 1 species
CCAUGCAUGUCUAAGUACAUGCCGUAUUAAGGCGAAACCGCGAAUGGCUCAUUAAAUCAGUUAUGGUUCCUUGGAUCGUACCUUACUACUUGGAUAACUGUGGCAAUUCUAGAGCUAAUACAUGCAGCAGAGCUCCGACCUUCGGGGACGAGCGCUUUUAUUAGACCAAAACCAAUCGGACCUCGCGUCCGUAUCUGGUGGUGACUCUGUAUAACUUUGGGCUGAUCGCACGGGCCUGUCCCGGCGACGUAUCUUUCAAGUGUCUGCCUUAUCAACUUUCGAUGGUAGGUUACGCGCCUACCAUGGUCGUAACGGGUAACGGGGAAUCAGGGUUCGAUUCCGGCGCGCUAAUUCUAGCUCCAAUAGCGUAUAUUAAAGUUGUUGCGGUUAAAAAGCUCGUAGUUGGAUCUCAGUUCCAGACGGGUGGUCCGCCUACCGGUGGUUACUGCCUGUUCUGAACAGCCAGCCGGUUUCUCUUGAUGAUCUUCACCGGUUGUCUUGGGUGACCGGCAAGUUUACUUUGAAAAAAUUAGAGUGCUCAAAGCAGGCGUGACGCCUGAAUAAUGGUGCAUGGAAUAAUGGAAUAGGACCUCGGUUCUAUUUUGUUGGUUUUCGGAACACGAGGUAAUGAUUAAGAGGGACAGACGGGGGCAUUCGUAUUGCGACGCUAGAGGUGAAAUUCUUGGACCGUCGCAAGACGAACUACUGCGAAAGCAUUUGCCAAGAAUGUUUCCAUUAAUCAAGAACGAAAGUUAGAGGUUCGAAGGCGAUCAGAUACCGCCCUAGUUCUAACCAUAAACGAUGCCAGCCAGCGAUCCGGCUGUGUUCCUCAAAUGACACGCCGGGCAGCUUCCGGGAAACCAAAGCUUUUGGGUUCCGGGGGAAGUAUGGUUGCAAAGCUGAAACUUAAAGGAAUUGACGGAGGGGCACCACCAGGAAUGGAGCCUGCGGCUUAAUUUGACUCAACACGGGAAAACUUACCCGGCCCGGACGCAGGAAGGAUUGACAGAUUAAGAGCUCUUUCUUGAUUCUGCGGGGUGUGGUGCAUGGCCGUUCUUAGUUGGUGGAUCGAUUUGUCUGGUUAAUUCCGUUAACGAACGAGACUCUAGCCUACUAAAUAGACGCUCCGAUCAUCUAUGUCGGACGUCCUUCUUAGAGGGACAAGCGGCGUCUAGCCGCACGAGACAGAGCAAUAACAGGUCUGUGAUGCCCUUAGAUGUCCGGGGCCGCACGCGCGCUACAUUGAAGGAAUCAUCGUGUGCUUUCCCUGUCCGACAGGAUUGGGUAACCCGUUGAACCUCCUUCGUGCUGGGGAUAGGGGCUUGUAACUGUUCCCCUUGAACGAGGAAUUCCCAGUAAGCACGAGUCAUCAGCUCGUGUUGAUUACGUCCCUGCCCCUUGUACACACCGCCCGUCGCUACUACCGAUUGAAUAAUUUAGUGAGGUCUUCGGACUGGCGCUCGGAGCGGCCCUCCAGGGUCGCGCCGGUGCAUCGGAAAGAUGACCAAACUUGAUUAUUUAGAGGAAGUAAAAGUCGUAACAAGGUUUCC